CAAGCAAUGGGGUAACUGUAACUGUGGAUAUCAAUCAACAUCUUCAGUUUCUGGUUCUUCAACAUGUGGUGGUACAGCAAAUGGUGCUCGUUGCUAUUUUCCGUUUCUCUACAAGGGUGUCAAAUAUACAUCUUGCACGAGCAAAGAUCAUAACCAGGCGUGGUGUGCAACAAGAGGAGGAAAUUAUUAUACACACAAACAAUGGGGAAACUGUAAUUGUGGAAGCCAGCCCGCACCUUCAGGGUCUGUUCCUAAAACAUGUGGAGGUACAGCAAAUGGUGCUCGUUGCUAUUUUCCGUUUCUAUACAAGAGUGUGACAUACACAUCUUGUACCAACAAAGAUCAUAACCAGCUGUGGUGUGCCACCAAAGGAG